GAGUUUGAUCCUGGUUCAGAUUGAACGCUAGCGGGAUGCUUUACACAUGCAAGUCGAACGGCAGCACGAGAGAGCUUGCUCUCUUGGUGGCGAGUGGCGGACGGGUGAGUAAUAUAUCGGAACGUGCCUAGUAGCGGGGGAUAACUACUCGAAAGAGUGGCUAAUACCGCAUACGCCCUACGGGGGAAAGGGGGGGAUCGCAAGACCUCUCACUAUUAGAGCGGCCGAUAUCGGAUUAGCUAGUUGGUGGGGUAAAGGCUCACCAAGGCAACGAUCCGUAGCUGGUUUGAGAGGACGACCAGCCACACUGGGACUGAGACACGGCCCAGACUCCUACGGGAGGCAGCAGUGGGGAAUUUUGGACAAUGGGGGAAACCCUGAUCCAGCCAUCCCGCGUGUAUGAUGAAGGCCUUCGGGUUGUAAAGUACUUUUGGCAGAGAAGAAAAGGUACCUCCUAAUACGAGGUACUGCUGACGGUAUCUGCAGAAUAAGCACCGGCUAACUACGUGCCAGCAGCCGCGGUAAUAC
rnacentral:rRNA from 1 species